ACCGGAAACAAGAUGAAAUCUUAAUAAUAAUCAAAUUUUGAUGACAUAGCUAGUAUAUUAUUAAUAGCCACCAAGUCUAUAUAGCUGCGUCUUUAAAUAACAAUAAUAUAUAUUGAAGAUUACGCGUUUGACUAUUUAAAAUGGAGUCCAUGUUAGAGCAGACGUAACGGUAUCAAAUCGAGGCUCUCCCAAGACGACGCCUUCGAAAGACGUGGAAGUUUGGCGUGACCUAGUAAUGGGAGAGAGUUGCUUAGAAACAGUCGGAAACGAAUUAGUCGGAUCGACAGUUUAAUAACGUUAACUGUUUGUGGAAGCUGAGAUCAAACAAGCCAACAGGGAGCCUCAUCCCCAAUGAUUCUCAACCGGGGUUCAUAUGGCCCUUGAGGGUCCACAUAAGGUUUCGCUGUUAAAUUUUAUGUUCAAUAAAUUACUUAUACUUCUACAAAACCCAAAAUAUUUUAAUAAUAUUUUUUUAUACGGUUCCUAAAAAUAUUUAAUUAUAAAAAUAUUACUCUUUUACUCUUUUACUUGUUUCAGUCGUUUGACUGCGGCCAUGCUGGAGCACCGCCUUUAAUCGAGCAACUCGACCCCGGGACUUAUUCUUUGUAAGCCCAGUACUUAUUCUAUCGGUCUCUUGCCGAACCACUAAAUGACAGGGAUGUAAACACACCAGCAUCGGUUGUCAAGCAAUGCUAGGGGGACAGACACAAACAUAUACACACACAUACAUAUAUAUAUAUAUAUAUAUAUAUAUAUAUAUAUAUAUAUAUAUAUAUAUAUAUAUACAUAUAUAUAUGACGGGCUUCUUUCAGUUUCCGUCUACCAAAUCCACUCACAAGGUUUUGGUCGGCCCGAGGCUAUAUUAGAAGACACUUACCCAAGGUAAAGAUCGAAUGUUAUGGGACCUUUUUUAAAGAUCGAAUGUUUAUUAGGGUCCAGUAGAGUUAAAGGGGAAUCAAAUGAGUCCGUAAGUAACAGAAUGUUAGAGAACUACUGCUCUACAUGGUUGUUCGACUUCCUAGAAAUAGCAGCCAAAUCUCAUUCACGUGAGACCCUAUUGUUUUAAGCGAUUAAAAUUAAUUGAUGUAAUCCUGAAUGCACACACACAUACAUAUACACAUUUAUAUAUGCAAAUACACACAUAUAUAUGCGUAUGCACACUUAUAUACAAUUCCAAUACAUAUAUCACGCUCUCUCUCUCUCUCUCUCUCUCUCUCUCUCUCUCUUCUCCUCUCUCUCCCCCACUUGCACUUUUUACUCUGUUGUUAGCUUUCAAGCAACUUGCCUACUUUGUUUAAAUAUGUUACAAUAUGAUUCUUGGAUAAUCUAUUAUAUAAAAUCCGUUCUGUCUGUGUGUAUGUGUGUCUUCUAGGAUCUCGGGCAUCCUUCAUCUGAUUGCGCUCAAAUUUGAUAUGUAAAUACCGACGGUAUCUAAGGCGGCGAGCUGGCAGAAUUUCGUCUGCUGUUACGUUCUGAGUUCAAAUUCCGCCGAGGUCGACUUUGCCUUUCAUCCUUUCGAGGUCGAUUAAAUAAGUACCAGUUACAUACUGGCGUCGAUAUAAUCGACUUAAUCCGUUUGUCUGUCCACCUCGGCGGAAUUAGAACUCAGAACGUAACGGCAGAUGAAAUACCCAUUUCUUUAGUACCCACAAAGGGCUAAAUACAGAGAGGACAAACAAGGACAGACAAACGGAUUAAGUCGAUUAUAUCGGCCCCAGUGGGUAACUGGUACUUAUUUAAUCGACCCCGAAAGGAUGAAAGGCAAAGUCGACCUCGACGGAAUUUGAACUUAGAACAUAGCGGCAGGCGGAAUACCGCUACGCAUUUCGCCCGGCGUGCUAAUCAUUCUGCCAGCUCGCUGCCUUAACUGAUGCCUAAAUGGAAGCACUCCGUCGGUUACGACGACGAGGGUUCCGGUUGAUCCGAUCAACGGAACAACCUGCUCGUGAAAUUAACGUGUAAGUGGCUGAGCACUCCACAGACACGUGUACCCUUAACGUAGUUCUCGGGGGUAUUCAGCGUGACACAGAGAGUGACAAGGCCGACCCCUUGAAAUACAGGUACAACAGAAACAGGAAGUAAGAGUGAGAGAAAGUCGUGGCGAAAGAGUACAGCAGGGAUCACCACCAUCCCACCUGCCGGAGCCUCGUGGAGCUUUUUAGGUGUUUUCGCUCAAUAAACACUCACAACGCCCGGUCUGGGAAUCGAAACCGCAAUCCUACGACCGCGAGUCUGCUGCCCUAACCACUGGGCCAUUGCACCUCCACCUUAUGCCUAAAUAAUAAAAGAAUAACAGUAUGGCACCAUGAGAAACCACUUUGAUCACCCCAUCCCACCCCCAUUAGUCUACACUAUCAAAAUUCGCCUGGGUCUAAACAUCCUAACAACAGCAUCAACGACUGUAAGCAAGAUUGUAUUUCUAUUGCCAGACUGGCUACACAUUUCGAAUCUUCUAAUAAUUCCUCAAACCAUUUACGAAUCAAUCCACAUCGUAUUUGUU
rnacentral:lncRNA from 1 species